rnacentral:misc_RNA from 1 species
AGUUGGUGGAUCGCGGUCCCAAGGUUUGUUCUUAUAUUGUUCAAGAACUUGUUCCAUAAUGCACAUGCAAUAGUUUUUAUCUUAUGGAAGUUACAGAUGCUACUAGUUAAAACCUUCAUUUAAUUCAGUAAUUGAAGAAUGCUAUCUAUCUAAACUGCAAGGCAGUUUUGACCAAACUAGAUAGUAUCUGAUUAUAUCUAAUUGUUUCACAAGUUGUAAACGGGGAUAUCUAGCAAUGUGUUCUUU